GAGUUUGAUCAUGGCUCAGGAUGAACGCUGGCGGGUGCCUUAACACAUGCAAGUCGAACGGAUAUAAGUCUUCGGACUUAUGUUAGUGGCGGACGGGUGAGUAACACGUGGAUAACCUGCCGAUAAUCGGGGAAUAACAGAUAGAAAUAUCUGCUAAAACCGCAUAAGCUCACACCGGGCAUCUCGGAGGGAGAAAAUAUUUAUAGAUUAUCGAGGGGUCCGCGUCUGAUUAGCUAGUUGGCGGGGUAAAAGCCCACCAAGGCGACGAUCAGUAGCCGGCCUGAGAGGGCGAACGGCCAACAUUGGGACUGAGACACGGCCCAAACUCCUACGGGAAGGCAGCAGUGGGGAAUAUUGCGCAAUGGGCGGAAGCUUGAACGGCAGCAACGCCCG
rnacentral:rRNA from 1 species